UACGGAGGGUGCAAGCAUCAAUCGGAUUUAUUGGGCGUAAAGGGCGCGUAGGUGGCCAUUUAAGUCAGAUGUGAAAUUCCAGGGCUCAACCCUGGAGCUGCGUCUGAAACUGGAAGGCUAGAGGAUAGAAGGAGAAAACGGAAUUCCACAAGUAGCGGUGAAAUGCGUAGAUAUGUGGAAGAACACCGGUGGCGAAGGCGGUUUUCUAUUUUAUACCUGACACUGAGGCGCGAAAGCAAGGGGAUCAAACAGG
rnacentral:rRNA from 1 species